rnacentral:rRNA from 1 species
AUUGAACGCUGGCGGCAUGCCUUACACAUGCAAGUCGAACGGUAGAGGGGGCAACCCCUCGAGAGUGGCGAACGAGUGAGUAAUGCAUCGGAACGUGCCCAGUAGUGGGGGAUAGCCCGGCGAAAGCCGGAUUAAUACCGCAUGAGACCUACGGGUGAAAGGGGGGGAUCGCAAGACCUCUCGCUAUUGGAGCGGCCGAUGUCAGAUUAGGUAGUUGGUGGGGUAAAGGCCUACCAAGCCGACGAUCUGUAGCUGGUCUGAGAGGACGACCAGCCACACUGGGACUGAGACACGGCCCAGACUCCUACGGGAGGCAGCAGUGGGGAAUUUUGGACAAUGGGCGAAAGCCUGAUCCAGCCAUGCUGCGUGCGGGAAGAAGGCCUUCGGGUUGUAAACCGCUUUUGUCAGGGAAGAAAUCCUUUGAGCUAAUACCUCGGGGGGAUGACGGUACCUGAAGAAUAAGCACCGGCUAACUACGUGCCAGCCGCCGCCGUAACAC